UUAGAACGUCGUGAGACAGUUCGGUCCCUAUCUGCCGUGGGCGCUGGAGAACUGAGGGGGGCUGCUCCUAGUACGAGAGGACCGGAGUGGACGCAUCACUGGUGUUCGGGUUGUCAUGCCAAUGGCACUGCCCGGUAGCUAAAUGCGGAAGAGAUAAGUGCUGAAAGCAUCUAAGCACGAAACUUGCCCCGAGAUGAGUUCUCCCUGAGACUUAGAGUCUCCUGAAGGAACGUUGAAGACGACGACGUUGAUAGGCCGGGUGUGUAAGCGCAGCGAUGCGUUGAGCUAACCGGUACUAAUGAACCGUGAGGCUUAACCUUACAACGCCGAAG
rnacentral:rRNA from 2 species